rnacentral:lncRNA from 1 species
UCUCUCUUGUUUAUUCACUGACUUCAUUUGUUGCUCAGCUCGUCCACCAUGUGGACCACUUCAUGGAUGUUUUGAAGGAAAACUAGCAGUCCUUAGAGGAGGCUGAGGCUAGAGCUACUUAGUCUGAGGCCCAAACUACAAGCUGAGAAAAAGAUGGAUGAGGUCUUGGAGUUAAAGUAGAUGGCUGAUAGGGAAAUUCAACCCUUGAAGGCCAAGGUAAAAUGAAUGGAGGCUGAGGUUGCAGACGCUUGGAACCAGGUCGAG